AACUCAACAGCUAGCCUCCUCUCCUAACAUAACUUAAAUUUAUACCCCCAUCAACUUCCCCCCCCCCCCCACCAAACCAUUUUUCCCCCUAAGUAAAGGCGAUAGAAAAGGACAAAUGAGAGCUACAGAAAUUGUACCGCAAGGGAACGCUGAAAAAGAAAUGAAACAACUAAUAAAGUAAUAUGAAGCAGAGAUUAACCCUCGUACCUUUUGCAUCAUGAUUUAGCAAGUCACCCCAAGCAAAGAGAAUUUUAGUUUGACCCCCCGAAACUAGACGAGCUACUCCAAGGCAGCCUGACAAUUAGGGCUAACCCGUCUCUGUGGCAAAAGAGUGGGAAGACCUUCGAGUAGAGGUGAAAGACCUACCGAGCCUAGUUAUAGCUGGUUGCCUGAGAAUUAAAUAUGAGUUUAGCCUUUAUUUUUCUCCCACCCCCGAUGAUACAUCUAAUAAACCUCGGACCCAAGAUUAUUAAAGAGUUAUUCAAAGGGGGUACAGCCCCUUUGAACAAAGACACAACUUUUCAGAGCGGAUAAUAAUCACAACAUCCCCAGGUGCGUGUUUAGGUGGGCCUAAAAGCAGCCACCCUGCAGAAAGCGUUAAAGCUCCUACACCCCUAAAACCUAUGAUUCCGAUAACAAAAUUAUAUUCCCUCAAUACUACCAGGCCAUUCUAUUAUACAUAGAAGAGAUUAUGCUAAAAUGAGUAAUAAGAGAACACACUUCUCUCCCCGCACACGUGUAAGCCGGAUCGGACCCCCCACCGGCAAUUAACGGCCCCAAACCAAGAGGGAAUUAAGAAUAAAUCAGAAAACAAGAAAACCCCUUAAAUAAACCCCGUUACUCCUACACCGGAGUGCCCCCCCCCCCCCGGAAAGACUAAAAGGAGAAGAAGGAACUCGGCAAAAAAUACCCUAAGCCCCGCCUGUUUACCAAAAACAUCGCCUCUUGACCCCCCUCCUAUAAGAGGUCCCGCCUGCCCUGUGAAUAAAAUUUUAACGGCCGCGGUAUCUUGACCGUGCAAAGGUAGCGUAAUCACUUGUCUUUUAAAUGAAGACCUGUAUGAAUGGCAAAACGAGGGCUUAACUGUCUCCUUCCCCCAGUCAAUGAAAUUGAUCUCCCCGUGCAGAAGCGGGGAUAAAAACAUAAGACGAGAAGACCCUAUGGAGCUUUAGACACAACAACAGACCAUAUAAAAAUCCCCUAAUUAAAGGACGAAACCAACCGGCCCCUGUUACAAUGUCUUUGGUUGGGGCGACCCCGGAGAAAUAAAAAACCCCCGAGCGGAAUGAAGACACCCAUCUUCAUAACUAAGAGCCGCAGCUCAAAAAAUCAGAACCUCUGACCUAAAGAUCCGAUACUAAUCGAUCAACGGACCGAGUUACCCUAGGGAUAACAGCGCAAUCCCCUUUAAGAGCCCUUAUCGACAAGGGGGUUUACGACCUCGAUGUUGGAUCAGGACAUCCUAAUGGUGCAGCCGCUAUUAAGGGCUCGUUUGUUCAACGAUUAAAGUCCUACGUGAUCUGAGUUCAGACCGGAGUAAUCCAGGUCAGUUUCUAUCUAUGAAGUGUUUUCUUCUAGUACGAAAGGAUCGAAGAAAAAGGGCCCAUGCUUAAAAUAAGCCCUUCCCCCACCUAAUGCCAACAACUUAAUUAGGCAAAAGACACACCUCCUCCCCCGAAGACAACGGCU
rnacentral:rRNA from 1 species